rnacentral:rRNA from 1 species
UACGAAGGGUGCUAGCGUUGUUCGGAAUUACUGGGCGUAAAGCGCGCGUAGGCGGCUAUACAAGUCAGAGGUGAAAUCCCGGGGCUCAACCCCGGAACUGCCUUUGAAACUGUAUAGCUGGAGUAUGUGAGGGGAUGGCGGAAUUCCUAAUGUAGAGGUGAAAGUCGUAGAUAUUAGGAGGAACAUCGGUGGCGAAGGCGGCCAUCUGGCACAUAACUGACGCUGAGGCGCGAAAGCGUGGGGAUCAAACAGG